GAUGAACGCUGGCGGCGUGCCUAAUACAUGCAAGUCGAGCGAACAGACGAGGAGCUUGCUCCUCUGACGUUAGCGGCGGAAGGGGGAGUAAAACGUGGAUAACCUACCUAUAAGACUGGGAUAAAUUCGGGAAACCGGAGCUAAUACCGGAUAAUAUAUUGAACUGCAUGGAUCAAUAGUGAAAGACGGUUUUGCUGUCACUUAUAGAUGGAUCCGCGCCGCAUUAGCUAGUUGGUAAGGUAACGGCUUACCAAGGCAACGAUGCGUAGCCGACCUGAGAGGAUGGUCCGCCCCCCUUGAACUUGGACACGGGCCAGACUCCCACGGGGGGCCUCAGUAGGGAAUCUUCCGCCAUGGGCCAAAGCUUUGCUGGGCCACGCCGCGUGAGUGAUGAAGGUCUUCGGAUCGUAAAACUCUUUUAUUAUGGAAAAACAAAUGUGUAAGUAACUAUGCACGUCUUGACGGUACCUAUACAGAAAGCCACCGCUAACUUCGUU
rnacentral:rRNA from 1 species